UACGUAGGGGGCAAGCGUUGUCCGGAUUUAUUGGGCGUAAAGAGCGUGUAGGCGGCCAGACAGGUCCGUUGUGAAAACUUGAGGCUCAACCUCGAGACGCCGAUGGAAACCGUUUGGCUAGAGUCCGGAAGAGGAGAGUGGAAUUCCUGGUGUAGCGGUGAAAUGCGCAGAUAUCAGGAAGAACACCCGUGGCUAAGGCGGCUCUCUAGUACGGUACUGACGCUGAGACGCGAAAGCGUGGGGAGCGAACAGG
rnacentral:rRNA from 1 species